AAGCCUUAAUCUAUUUUACACACUACUAGGACAUUCAUCUUUCUGAAGCAUAAUUCCAGUCAUUCUAAUGCUUAACAGCAUCUCAGAGGCUUCCCAUGUCUUAUAAGUUAGAGUACAGACUCCGGUGGGUACUCAAAGCCCUACACGGUAUUGCCCCAGUCUGUCUUUAUGGCCAAUUUCAUCCUCACCAGCACAUACUAGUUUCCAGCCAACCUGGAUUACUUGAGAUGGCUGAGGGGGUCCUUAUGUUUUUCACCUGUUUUUGCUGUGCCUCCUGCCUCCCUGCACUCAUCCUCUGCUCAAGUCUUCUGGUUAUUAAAAGCCGACUUUUAAGGCUUGGCUCAAGUGCAUGUUCCUCAUGAAAUUUCCCAAAGAGUUUCUUCUGUGCUGGAAUUUUCAUAGCACCCUGAUAUUAGUAUUCCUUUUGUACUUGCAACCCUGUCCAAUUGCAGGAUGUAGGUGUCAUAAUCCUUCUACCAAUUAUAAACUUAGGGCAAGAAGAAGAAUGGUGUCCUCGCUUUGUUUUCUCACAGAGCUUGGUAAGGUGCUCUAUUUUGGCAAGAUGGAAUGUAAUUUAGCAUCGCUGAGGGUCUUCUGAUGUAGAAGCAAUUCAGAAUGAGCCCUCUAAACAUUUUCACAACUGAAGUACCACCCAGAUGAGUGCAUCACUCUCAAGUCAACAGUUUGAGUAAUAUACACUCGAUUAUAGAUGUUAAUCUUUUUUAUUCAUGCUAUGCAAUCAUUACUCCAAAGGUCAUUAAAGAGUUCUUGUCUUCCCUUAAAGGGACCAGAGCAUCAAAACCUAUUGCCGAUCUCAUCCCACAGCCUUCAUGGUGGGGCAUGCUCUGACCCUUCCACUGUGAAUAAAUUCCACCUGAGUAAUGACUUACGUGUACUUGUUCUAAAAAACACCAUACAACUUCAGGAUAUUUUGUGCCUGCUUGCCUUCCAUCUUUUCAGACACUUAAACCCCUGUCCCCUGCCCAGUUCCCAGAACUAUCAAGCACUAUGCCCGUACGGGGCAUGCUCUGCCAGAGCUGUGACCUGGCCUGGGCAGCACUCCCCUCCAUAUGUGUAAGCCUCAUUCAGAAUGAUAGCCUCUUAGGAUAUAGCCCUGCUUCUGAUUUGUUUUGCAUUUAAGUGGAAAAUGACGCUCUGGGGUUGUCAUUGCAUGUCAGCACAGCCCAAAGGCUCCUUAAGGGGUCUCUAGAGCCAGACUGCCUGGAUCAGAGUUCUCUUUGUCACGUGCUGAUGGCACAAUCCUGGGCAAGGUAUUGAAUCUCUCUGGCUGUCUGUUUCCUAAUUCAUAAAACAGAAAUGGAAAUAGCACCUCACAGGGUUGUUGCUAGAAGUCAGUGGAGAGCAGUUCCUGGCACCAUAGUCAAUGCCCAGUAAACAGAAGCUCUUACUUUCUGCACUGUAUCAUUAUGUGAUUUCAAUGAGCUCCCUCCCUCUAUAGUAUAAUAAUCAAUUCUGUUUUCUGCUUUCUGCCCUCCUCUUUGUUUGGGGAAGGUUCUGGUUGGAGAUUGCUCUGUGUGUAGUUUCUCCAUCCUGCCUGCAUACUCAGCCUUUGCCCUAUCACAGCAUUGCUUGGCUUGGAACCAACACCCAGCUUCCCAAGACUCCCGUCCUAACUGAGAUAGUGUGUGUACCUUUCCAGACUCACUGCGCUUGACCUGGGACCAGGAGGGGGCAGCAUGAAGGUAAAUGUAGAAUAGAACAGGUAUAUCAGAAAUAUUUCAAAUACAAUCAUAUUAAAGCAAUAGAUAGAGGACUGAAAAAAAAAAUGCAUCCAUUUAGGAGACACAAGGAAUGAACAAUCUGGUAAUAAGAUAUUCUGGGAUAGAGAAUGCCAAAUGCUUUAUGUACAUUAUUUUAAAUGCUUUAGUUAUAUGAAUUAAGCAGUCAUCUCCCCCAUUUUAUAGAAGGUGGAUCUGCAGCUCAGAUAAUUUGCUCUAAUUAAAAGCAGUAAGUUACAAAGGAUUCAAACCCAGAUACAACUAAGUCUAAAGCCUACGCUCUUCACCUUAUUUAAUUGCUACUUUAAAAACCAUAGAAAAAGAACCUGAAGAUUGUGCAGGCUUAUGUAGACUGUAUUUAGUCAAUCUGUGGUCAUUUUAAUUUUUCCGUACAAGUAAUAUAUACACAGCCUUCUCAAAAAAAUUCUAGUGGAGGCCACUGAUCCAAACAGUUCCUACUUUCAUAAGCUAGAUACCAAGUAUAGCAACACUUGGCAGCAUAUACAAUAAGACACAGGACCACCUUACUACUUCUAAAACAGACUCCUUUCAUUAUUCAGACCCAAGAGUUAAGGAUUCUCUCACCAUUCCAGUCACCAUGCACUUAAGUGGUUGGUUCACCAGUUCUACAGCGGAAUUCCGAGGCCAAGCGAUCCUCCUCUGGCCAAGGAGACAGCCUGCCAGUGUGUGUGUGCACUGUCUGUCGGCUCCAGACUUUGCCAUGUACCCCAGCUCAGUGACAGUACUCCUGCUUCCCCAGGUGAUCCUUGUCCUGUGCUUACAGUUAAACUUUUGGCUCCAUGGGGUCCCUCUAAAGCAAUAGUGUCAUGACUGGGCAGGUGCUCUUGGUCUCAUUCUGUUUUGAAUAGAUCACUCCUCUUUCAUUACAUUGUGAGGAAGACAACUGCAAGCUUGAAAAAAAAACAAAACAAAGCCCUGAAAACCUGAAGCUUAUGUGCUGACCCUGGACAGGUACACUUUUUCUUGCCCUUCUCCACUCUGGCAUAUAAACAAGUACAUCUGCAUGGCUGCUGGGAAUGAGCAUCAGAAACAGUACGAUAUGUUAGAACUUUCCCUUGUUUUUGAGUCUUGGGUUGCUAUACUUCUUUUCUCUGAUUUCUCCUUUUCCUGAUUCUUCUUUGAUUCCUUCAGUUUAGAGUUUUGAAAGCCGUGGACUGGUAGGAGGCAAUAGUUGGUGACCUUGAGGAGAUUGACUAUCCAAUAGUCAAACAGGGAAGUCUACACACAGAACGUCUCAGAAAAGAGAUGUGGAUGCUCAUACAUGUAAGCAGCCAAAUAGCAGUAAAUGAAGAUAUGCCUUGAUAUAUAGCUCAUUUACAAGGUGUAGAAAGUGAAAUUUUAUAAAUCAAAAGUUGUUUUAAUGUAAUUUAUUGGAUUUAUGAGAAGACUAUAGUAAAAAAAAAAAAUCCUCCCAUUGUGUUCCAUUAUGCAAAUACCCAACAAAUGAUCAGUCCUGACUAUGGUUUGUUUCAUGUCUGUUUUUUUUAAUGCCACACAGCUCCAUGCACACUAGGAUGACAUUUGAGAAGUGAGAGGAGGCUCCUUGAAGGAAUUGUUCUUUCCAUGUUAGAGUUCCCUGAGUUGAACAUAAAUGAUUGUUGGUUGUGAUUGGGACAAUCAAGGCACAAAAGGAUACUUUUGGGUGGAUAAACUCUGAAAUACAGUGGUCUCCAGGGAAGACCUGUGUGCAAAGCCAAUGACAGGCUCUGGCUCCUGCCCGCAUGCCUGGCAUUUAUUUGCAGCUCACAGGGUGUUAACUGCUGAGAAGUUCAGCCAACAAUUUCUCUGAGCAGGUGGAAGUUCAUCUUUCUUUUGUUGAGAUGAUUUUUUUAAGAAGAAGUAAGCUAGCCCUUAAUUUCAUUGAGUUCUUCCAGUCUCAUCAUUGCAAACCAUUGGGCUAACAGGCAUGGCCCAUCAUUGACUUCUGAUCCCAACCCCCAGCCCCAAAUAAGAAAGGUAACGGGGAGCAAUGGGGCAGGAAAGAGCUCAGAGGCAACAUGUGUAUGUGUAUAUGGACACACACACACAAAGGUUAGUCUAAAGUUGAUAUGAUUUUGGAAUAAGCAAGUGUGCUGGUGACACAAAGGAAGAAUAUUCAAAAGAUGGAAUGCCACAGCUUGGGGGUGACCUCAUCUGUGUGGAAACUUAUCAGUGGGCCAUAAACUAGGAUAAAUGGCAGUGGAGCCAGGCCAGGGCCUUGGAGUGUUUUCCUCCAAACUGUCAUCUGAAUCUCACAACAUUCACUAGAUAAAAUUGUUGGUCUUCUUGUCUUCUUUCUUGAACUUUGCAUUCCCUGAUCUUUGCCCCUCUUUUCCUAUGAGAAGCCGUCUUGUUCAGCCACAGUUUAUAUGCAGGGCCCGUUGUUAAGGUCUGCAGAGUGAGAUAGGAUUACAGCCAACAUUGUACAUUCAUUCUUGUGGAAAGAACUGACAGCUUAUUUUGAAUGCCUACAAAUUGCUUUGUAGAUUAAAUAUGUAGUUGCAUAAAUCCCAGGCAACAUUAUUGCUUUUAGGAGCAUUUGUUUUCAGUCUAGCUUGAAAAGGUUUUAUCUUAGGCCCAGAGGAAGCCCAAACUUCCACCACCACAAUUUAUAUCUGCUCUCACAAGAGAAGCAGGGCCGCCUGGUGCUGAGAGCAUUGUAGUUCUUAGUUAUUUUUAAAAAAUUAAAGUGGUCACUGAAAGCAAGAGGACAAUAGAUAGAGACAUGGGAGAGAAGGGUGUUCCAAUUUUAAUUAAUUUAACUCUAGUCAACCAAAAUGUACUGAGCAGUUGUUACACAUAAAGCAUCCUAAGUGUGGAUAAAAUGUUAUAAAAUGUCAUUUCUGACUUCAGAUCUCAGAGAGAGAGACACUGAUGAUUUAGCCAGUCAUGCUCUUUACUCCCCAUCAACAACAUUAUUUUACUUAUUUAUUUUUUGUGAAUGGUAUAUUCCCAGAUCAUCAACCCUGAAACUUUGGAAUCAUUUACAACUCACCCUUUCUCUUAAUUGCUCAUAUUUGUAUCACUUAUCAACUUACCCACUUGGCAAGUCCUACCAAUCCUUACCCCCAUUUCUGCAUUUCUGUGCUCAUGCCACCAUUUGUUAAAGUCCUCAUUAUGUUACACCUAUUUUUCUGUAAUAACUGACUAGCUAAGCUCACUAAGUUGAUAACUUGCUCCUGUCUUUCCUGUCUGUAUACAGGUUCCAUAAAUACUACAAUAAUUUCACUCUGACCAGUGUACACUUAUUUUCCACUGUUCCUAAAACAGCCUCACCUUCCCAUUUGUCCUUCAAAUAUGUCAUGCUAUUUUUGCUUUCAUGCCCCUAUUGAAAUCUUUGUCUCCCACCUGGAGUAUCCUCCUUUAUCUCAUCCAUCCAUUUAAACCAGCAGUUCUCUGCCUCCUGACACAUUUCAGGCACCUGGUGAAGGUUUUUGUUUUUUAUUUUUUUUAGUUUUAAUUUUUUAAUUUUUAAUUUUCUAUUAAGGUAUCACUGAUAUGCACUCUUAUGAAGGUUUCACAUGAAAAACAUUGUGGUUACUACAUUCACCCAUGUUAUCAAGUCCCCCCAUCCCCCAUUGCAGUCACUGUCCACCAGUGUAGUAAGAUGCCAGAGUCACUACUUGUCUUCUCUGUGCUGCACUGUCUUCCCCGUGACCGCCCCCCCCACCACAUAUACUAAUCAUAAUACCCUACAAUCCCCUUCUUCCUCCCUCCACCCCCACCCUCCCCCACCCAUCCGCUUUGGUAACCACUAGGCCCUUCUUGGAGUCUGUGAGUCUGCUGCUGUUCUGUUCCUUCAGUUUUGCUUCCUUGGUAUACUCCACAAAUGAGGGAAAUCAUUUGGUACUUGUCUUUUUCCACCUGGCUUAUUUCACUGAGCAUAAUACCCUCUAACUCCAUCCAUGUUGUUGCAAAUGGUAGGAUUUGUUUUCUUCUUAUGGCUGAAUAAUAUUCCAUUGUGUAUAUGUACCACAUCGUUAUCUGUUCAUCUACUGAUGGACACUUAAGUUGCUUCCAUUGUUUUUUCUCCUUUUUAAUACCAAGGGCAAGGACCCAGCUGGAUCAGUUAAGCUGGAAUUCGGGGGCCUCUGUAUUUUUAAAGUUCUCCCAGAUAAUUCUGAUGUACUACUGAAGUUUAGAAUGACUAUCUAAACAUUAGGCCUUAUGCCAGUGCCCAUAAACCAGUCCUGCUCCUGAGGCCCUCCUGGGACACUUCAGCCACUGUGUCUUCGAUCUUUUUUUUGAAAACUUCUGGAACACUCCACUUCACUUUGCUUAGACUAGCAGCUAAUUCCCUACUUUACUGUUUCCUAGCCGUCUCUGGUGCUUAGUUUAUAUUACAAGCUCCUGGAGGGCAGGAAUAAUAGCUCAGUGAAUAGUAAGCUCUUCCAGAGAAUGAAAUACAAAAUAGAUAGAGAUAAAUCCAGGAACAUUUCAAAUGACUGAGUGGGCAAAGGAGUGUUAUGGGCUAAAUUGUGAUCCCCCCUCAACCCCCAGCCCUGCAGAAUGGGACUGAAUUUGGAAAGGUGUUUUAAAAGAGGAUAUUAAAUUAAAAUGAGGCCAUUAGGGCAAGCCCUAAUCCAAGGUGUCCUUAUAAAAAGAAGAAAUUUGGACACACAGAGGGACAUACACAGGAAAUACCAUGUGAGGACACAGCAAGAAGAAAAGUGUCUGCAAGCCAAGGAGGGAGGCCUCAGAGGAACCAAACCUGUCAACACCUUGACCUUGGACUCCCAGCCUCCAGAAUGACAAGAAAAAUAAUUCUGUUCUUUAAGCCCUCCUGUCUGUGGUGUUUUGCAUGGCAGCUCUGGCAGGCUAAUCUAUGAUGAAGGUGUGGGCAUGCUGAAAUUGGGAAUUUAGGGAAGAUAAUGUAAAUUAUGCUCAUAAGCUCUGAGCUGUCAGAUACCACUCAGCAACAGAAUCAGUGUGGUAGGUCGCCCUCCCAGGUAAUGGCGUGAGGCAUUCAUUACUGAAUGCUGGGAUGUCAUUACAAAGGAUAUUAGAAACAAACGGGCACCCACAUGUGAAGCAGAGAGACAUCUACAGCCUGGAGGCUGGGUGCACCAUUAAGGAGAGCUCUAUAAAAGAAGGCACAGGCUGUUCCUGGAGAGAGAGGUUCAAUGCAGCAGGAUCUGUCUUCACUGUGGCUCUGAAGACACCAGCCGCCGUGAAUUCUAGAGCCACAGCAACCACUCGGAAGCCCAUUCUUCUUCAGUCAAGCUCCCCUUUGAGAAUGCAGCGCAGCGGACAUCUGAAUGUCAUCCCCCUGAGACCCUGAGCAGAGAAACCAGAGAAACCUGUACUUCUGACCUUCAGAAACGGUGAGAUGAGGAAUUUUGGAAAGCGAUUGGUAGCACAGUCCAGGAGGGCACACCUGAGGUUCUACCUGGGUCUGAUUCCAGGCCUGAGCUUUUUAGCCAAGAUUCCUGAUCAUUGCCUUUUUAUUUGGGCAUUUAAAGUGCUUCCUUUUUUUUUUUUCGUCUUUUGUUAUUACAGCUAACCCUACAACAAACACUUUAUCUACAGGUCAUCUGCAAUGUAAUGUCAUUGACUCCAGACAACAAAAAGUGUGAAUAUUUUGAUGAAAGUUGAUGCCUUGUGUCAAAAUGACUUGAAAAUAAUUAUGCCAAUUUAUAAUAUAUAAAUGAAAUAUAGUUAUUUAUCACUUUCUUUAUCCAUCUUUUUAUAAAUUACAUUCUUGCCAGCAUUAGUUAUGUUAACUAAAAUUUUUUUUUUUGCUAAUUUAGCAGCAAAAUAAAUAUGUUGUAUUUUAACUUCUUUUAUUAAUUAGAACAGUUGAACAUUAUUUCAUAUAUUUGUUCACUGGCUAUAGUUCUUUGAAUCAUCAGUUCGUAUCCUUUCCCAUUUAUCCAUUGGAGACAUUUUAAAAAGUCAGUAAAGAUUUUUCUCAUAGUAAUAAAGAUAUUAACCCUUUGUUAGAUUUGGUGCAAAUACCUUUCCUGGUCUUUGCAUUUUAACUGUUGACAUAGUUUCAAAAGUGCAUGUAGUCAGAUAUAGUGGUUUCUAACUUUUUAAUAUACUGCUUCUAAACAAAGUUAUCUCCUCCCACCUAUUCUGAAAGAUAUUUCAAAAAUAUUUUGAUUUAUUUUUCCGUAGUCUUUCUAUUUAAUUAUAAAAUACUGUUUGGAAUUU